CUCAAGCCAACACACACUACUCCUGAACACAUAACUUGAAGAGAAGGUUUCUUUCCAAUGAAGAUGAGCCAUCUACUAAAUGGAAACAAAGCUCCAUGGCUGGGUCACUUCCUCUGACUUGGUGAAUGGGAUGAGGUAUAAUGACAAGAGGAACCCAGAGAGAAGGGAGUAUGUGAAGGCGCUCUUGUAGCCUGGAGGAAGGCAGGAGGGGGACCUGCCUGAGUCUGGACUUUGAUAUCAGCCUGAGAGAAAUCUCAGCUCAUCCCCCAAUAUCAGGAAAAGGACAUAAAUUAAAAUUCACAAAGGGAAGGAUGUAUGAGGCAAUGUCCAGGAGAAACCAGAUACAAGCUUCUAGGCUCUCAGUGGAGUUGCAUAUUAACACAAUUAAUUCUCCCAGCAAUUAUACAUGACCAUACACGUGACAUAUUCUCAACAGGGAGGCUUACUGCUGCAUGGUAUUGGACUUUUUAUUUGGGGGUUGUUUACCUGGUGGCUCAGACAAUAAAGAAGCUGUGGCAAUGCAGAACACCCAGGUUCAAUUCCUGGGUCAGGACAAUCCCUCAA
ensembl:lncRNA